GCAGGGCUUUUUGAGUCCAAAGCUUAAAUGGUGCUCUUCUUCCAAAGAAGAAGUCCCAGCAGUUUCCCUGCUCUCUCUCCGUCCAUUAAGGCCCUCUGUCCUUUUAGAUCCACUUUUAAUACAGCCAUGAAAAGCUCCAAGGGCUCUAUGUGACCAGACAAGAACCUGGACUCUGCAAGCUACUGGGGACAUCAAAGUGUGCUGUGACUACACUUUACAGUUGACCUCCCCGCACCGCCGCUCUCUCCACCGCGACUCCUCAAACAGCUGCAGCAGGUGAAUGUAGCCAGCAUGCCUUGACGGAAACGCUUGUUCAUGAAGCAGUAGAUGAUGGGGUUGACACAGGCCGAGGUGUAGGAGAGCAGGUGGAUGAAGGAGAUGGGUGCGCCGGUUAAGCGGUAGGCCGAGCGCCGGUCGAAUGCCUGCCAUGCGUUGACCACAAAGAUAGGUGUCCAGCAGAUGAAGAAAAGGAAGACAAUGACCAGAAGCAUGCGGAUCACGCGCUUCUUGGCCAUGAGGUUUGCUGUGGAGCUGCUACCACACACUCUGCCCAUCAUGGGCUGGCUGCUGGAGCUGGGGACGUUGCUUGCGAUGUUUUUUUUUUUAGUCUGCUGGAGAUAACAGCCAUCACUGUCCCCGGUUUUGAUGCUGCUCGUGCUGGAUUGUCUCUCUGUCAGGGGAGAGGAUGUAAGAAGAUAAGUGAAAAGGAGCAGUUUUAUCAGCAUGAAAAAAUAAAACAAAUAUGCAAUGACAA